rnacentral:rRNA from 1 species
AGCAGCCGCGGUAAUUCCAGCUCCAAUAGCGUAUAUUAAAGUUGUUGCAGUUAAAAAGCUCGUAGUUGAAUUUCGGGGUUAGUAGGUUGGUCAUGCCUCUGGUAUGUACUGGUCUCACUGAUUCCUCCUUCCUGAUGAACCUUAAUGCCAUUAAUUUGGUGUUUUGGGGAAUUUGGACUGUUACUUUGAAAAAAUUAGAGUGUUUAAAGCAAGCUAACGCUUGAAUACAUUAGCAUGGAAUAAUGAAAUAGGACGUUCGAUCCUAUUUUGUUGGUUUCUAGGAUUGACGUAAUGAUUAAUAGGGAUAGUUGGGGGCAUUAGUAUUCAAUUGUCAGAGGUGAAAUUCUUGGAUUUAUUGAAGACUAACUACUGCGAAAGCAUUUGCCAAGGAUGUUUUCAUUAAUCAAGAACGAAAGUUAGGGGAUCGAAGACGAUCAGAUACCGUCGUAGUCUUUACCAUAAACUAUGCCGACUAGGGAUCGGAUGAUGUUAAUUUUUUAAUGACUCA